GCCUAUUAGAGAGGGGCACGGUAAACUCUGUUAUAUUUUACCUCGGUACGAGAGGCGCGGAGGGUAUCUCUUGAGGUAAAGCUUUAGAGUUCACUACACGCUAAACCACCACGUGAGGGUGAACUCAGCCAACGCCAAGGAAUGACUAUGCUUUUAAAAGUAAAAAUAUGUUUUAUGCAUAUAUGAACUUUUCUUUAACAACC
rnacentral:lncRNA from 1 species